ACUGGCGGCCUUAGCGCGGUGGUCCCACCUGACCCCAUGCCGAACUCAGAAGUGAAACGCCGUAGCGCCGAUGGUAGUG
rnacentral:rRNA from 1 species